CUCUAGGGAGCAUGUGCACACUUGUCAUCUUUAUAUCUCCACCUGUGAACCUUUUGUAGACCUGCAUAUCUCUCUGAAUUUGCCUGGCAGAUUCAGGUUUAAGGAUUGAUCUGUUCUUUCCUUGUGUUUUCAGGUCUAUGUUUUUUCAUAUACCCCAAUGUAUGUUUAUAGAAUGUAAUAAACAGGCCUCUGUGCCUAUAAACUUAUACAACUUUCAGCAACGGAUCUCUUGGCUCUCGCAUCGAUGAAGAACGCAGCGAAAUGCGAUAAGUAAUGUGAAUUGCAGAAUUCAGUGAAUCAUCGAAUCUUUGAACGCAUCUUGCGCUCCUUGGUAUUCCGAGGAGCAUGCCUGUUUGAGUGUCAUUAAUAUAUCAACCCUCUUUUGCUUUUUUUGCAUGUCGAGUGUUGGAUGUGGGGGUUUUUGCUGGACUCUCUCCUUUGAGGUCAGCUCUCCUAAAAUACAUUAGCAAAACAAUUUGUUUACUGCUCAUUGGUGUGAUAAAUAUCUACGCUAUUGGCGGUAUAAAGCACAGUUUAG
rnacentral:rRNA from 1 species